GAUGAACGCUGGCGGCGUGCCUAAUACAUGCAAGUCGAGCGAACGGACGAGAAGCUUGCUUCUCUGAUGUUAGCGGCGGACGGGUGAGUAACACGUGGAUAACCUACCUAUAAGACUGGGAUAACUUCGGGAAACCGUAGCUAAUACCGGAUAAUAUUUUGAACCGCAUGGUUCAAAAGUGAAAGACGGUCUUGCUGUCACUUAUAGAUGGAUCCGCGCUGCAUUAGCUAGUUGGUAAGGUAACGGCUUACCAAGGCAACGAUGCAUAGCCGACCUGAGAGGGUGAUCGGCCACACUGGAACUGAGACACGGUCCAGACUCCUACGGGAGGCAGCAGUAGGGAAUCUUCCGCAAUGGGCGAAAGCCUGACGGAGCAACGCCGCGUGAGUGAUGAAGGUCUUCGGAUCGUAAAACUCUGUUAUUAGGGAAGAACAUAUGUGUAAGUAACUGUGCACAUCUUGACGGUACCUAAUCAGAAAGCCACGGCCAACUACGUG
rnacentral:rRNA from 1 species